UAUAGCUUUGUAAUCACUUCUUAUGCUGAAGAUCUGGUGGUAGUUAAAACUACUUGAGUUAAACAGAGCACUUCCUUUAGUUAAAAAACCAGCCGACACACCGCUACGUGACCGCUUCAUGUAUUUUGAUAACUCAUGCUGACAGGUGUCAUCUCUGCAGGCUAUCUCUAGCCUUUAAUCAUCAGGAAGCAGAGACUGGAGGGGGUCUUAAUUAAUCUGAAUUUUAGCCAGGGUGGUGGGUGGUUCUCCUCCGCUGUUCAAAAUAUCCUCAACACACAUGGUGCACCUUGGGUUGUGUACAAAAACAUGAGCCUCUGAGAGAGACUGUAGAAUUUCACAGAGGAUGGGGAGAAUGUACCAAUGAGUUGGCUUUAAUGGGUCCAGCUAAAGCCUGCACUUCGCAUGGUCAACAAACAGUGGUCACACUAACAGGUGAACCUACUGUCCCCUUCUGCUUACUGAUCCGGAAGGCCUGGCUGGAGGAAAACAUGGUUCGUGAGCAGGAUUUCACAGCUCUGUACGAGGCCACAGAAAAUGCUGGGCUCACAGUGCACUUUCUAGCUGCUGAACCAUAGCCCUCACUGUGACAGGACCUGUGGUAGAGGCUAAAACAGAAAUCAUCACUGCGUAGGAGUGGUUCAGGGCAUCAGUUCUGGUGGAUAGACAGCCUCUCGUCUCCCACUCAUAUAAAUCUUCUCUGUGUACAGUAAAUGUGACUGAGAAUGAGAGCUUAUUCCAUACUGUUUUGCAUCUCAGGUUUUCUUUUCCUGAGAAAAAUACAGUUACUGGAAAAUGUAAAGCCCAUACAAUGCUUAAGAAUCAAAAUAAUACCUUUAAUAUGAACAGAUUGUGAUGGUCUGUACGUGCUUCACACGCUGGCAUGGGGAUAGGGGCUAAAAUACAGCUUUGUUAGACUUGGGGUCUAAAGAGCAGAGAGGCCAAAACUGAAGAAAAGCAGAUACUUGUACUCCUCUUUAGAACAAAAGAAAAAACACUGAAGGACUGAAGGACAAUCAUUAAGGUUGGUUAGUUACUUUAACUCACUUAGAGUGCACUUUAAAGACAAUUUGUAUAUGAUAUCACUCUGCCAGCUGAAGCAAAAGGUUUUCUUUUCCUUUCCUCCCUUUUCACAAAAGGCAUUGCCAAGAGGGAAUGGCAGGAGUCAGGAGCCUGUUUACUUAUGCCACGUCCCUUUUUCAUUAUCCCUUGUCUGUUUUCUGCAUGGUGAACACUACCUACAACUUUUAAUACCCAAUUUAAAUUGGUUUCAAAUAAGUGGCAGAGGAAUGCAUAAGCAGAGAUUUCUGUCUCAUGUCAGGGGAACAGCACAGAGAGCAUCUUGGCCAUCUUUUCUUUUAAGCCUGUACAGUCUGCUGCUCAUAUGCUACCUCCAUUGAUCAGCACCUUUGAAAAAUGAGUCCAUUACUGUCUAUACAAAAUGGUUCUAUGAACCAUUUUUAAAAAAGCAAUAUAUCUACAAAAUUAACCCCUGGACAGCUUUCAAGGUUUUCACCCUCUCACAAUAACACGGUCACACUGAGAAUAGGCAUCUUGAUGUUUAAUUACCACAGACAACAGGGAGGUCUGCAGUACCUAUGCUAUCAAAAAGAUAACAGUGAUGGUAUCUUAUCUGCCAGGACUGAAUGUCGCUAUGACACACAUGAAAUGCUGCCAUACCCUCUGCUGUAUGUACCCUGCAGUAGAGGGGCCACAGUAUUGCAGUGCUCCUCUUUCCCUCCCAGCAGCUCCAUCCCAGGAAAAAUUAAUAGGAUAACAGUUCUUCUGGGGCAAGAUAGUUACCUACUAAAUCAACACUACUUCCUAAUGAACAGCUCUUGAGUUGGGCCUAGCUCUGCUUAAUUUAAAGUAGUUGUGUUGACAUAAUAUAUUUAGACUUCUGUAAUGUGUUUGACUUAGUACUGCACAACAUUCUGAUUAAAAACAAUUAUCGCUAUACAAAAUCGGCGUUGCACAUAUUAAACGGCUCCCAAAGUGUCUCACUGGCAGCAUGCAGAAGGCAGCUCUAAGUCGGGAAGCAGCGCUCAGGGCAAGCUGCCAGUUCCUCUGGGGUCUCCGUGCAGACAAUCCAGCAAAGAAUGGUGGGUAUCAAUGGCACAAAAGUCCGAUUUCAGUAGCAGCUUGGGGUCAUGAGGUGGAUGGAGGCCAUCCUGCUGUCAGGAAAAUUUCGGCUCCAAUAAGCUUGCUCAAUCAUAUUUAUCCCAAAGAGACAGAGGAGAGUCUCCACCUUUCUUCAUUCGAGUAAAGGGAGAGUCCACUGAGGCACACCCCUGUGGGGGGUCUCCAAGUACUGGGGGACACAGCCCCUCUUUUAUCCCUGUACCCCGAUGCUGGUGAGCCCUUUCUCCAUAGGCUGAGCUACUCGGGGUUCACAUUCUUAUCCAUUCACCUAUCAGCCAUCCACCCCCAGUAAGUACCCCGUUUGUUUCCUUUGUCUACACACACUUUGUCAUCUGGAUUCAGAGCUUGUUGCUUUGCCCAACUAGAACUAUCUUUGCAUCCUGUAAAAUCCAUCACUCUUUGUUCCAUCCAGCAAACACGAUUUACACGCAGGUGCUAAGCUAGCAUCUCCUGUCAUGUAUCUGCAAAAUAAGUUUGUUUAACCAGAUCCUUGUGAUCAAAACUCUUCUUCCCAGCUUCAUCUUGUUUUGCAGGGACCCCCUAUCCUUCCAUUGCUCUUCCUGAAUGCCAGCUUCUUUUGCAGGGACACCUUAUCCUUGUUUCUCCUUCACUGCUUUCCACAUUACAAAGCUUAUAAGCUCAUAACCUAGGCCACGCUUCCCAAAUAAGUGCUGCGUAAUAGAGGUGGCAGUCUCUGUUGCGAUCUGCGCCUUUGUUUGUGCUCCUGUGUGGGGCAUCCAGAAGGUUCUGGAAGGUUCCAGGCAGCUCCAGCUGUCGCAAUCAGCCCCAGCUGGUUCUGCAGCCCCGCUUCAUGGCACAGCUGGUCACUUAGCGCGGUGCCUCGGAGGGGGAGAAUUUAAGAGAGCAAAAAAAAAAAAAAAAAAAAAAAAAAACGCUAGCUGGCGGUGAGGAACGAGGGGAAAGAAGUGUGAGAAGCAGUGAGAACUGCGGGCGCGAGGAGGUGCUGCAAACUGUGGAGAGCCUGCACGUGGAAAGCGCGAGGCGGGGAGAGCAGCAGAAAGGGAGCGGUGGGUGCAGCCCCUCACCCCAUCGCUCCGCACUGCUCGGGGGAGAAGAGGUCGCCGGAACAAAUAAUUGACCUGCGUUGACUUGCAGCCAAAUCACAGCAAUUAGCAACUGAAAGCAGAGGAGAGCCGGUGGCAGACAACUGGAGCCGGCAGUUCAGGUCAGACUUCGGGUGCUAAAAUGUCCCAGAGUGACUCAGCGUGGGGGUUUGUUAUUUCCUCAGUUAUCUGAAGAAGAGAAGCCAUCUGCAACAUUAAGAGUGGCCUGUUCAUACCCAUUCACUGCAGCAUCACUUGGCCUUUCCAGCUAUUUGUCUCCAUAGGAUGAAGGUUUCUUGCACAGAAGCAUCAAUGUCAAUGCAAGAUGAACUCCAGUCCCCCUCAGAUGUUGCAGUUUGACAAAUCAUAGAAUCACAGAAUCACCAAGGUUGGAAAAGACCUACAAGAUCAUCCAGUCCAACCAUCCACCUGCACCAAUAGAGCCUCACUCUGUGUCCCUCAACACAACAUCUGAACGUUCCUUGAACACCUCCAAGCAUUGCACACCUGGGCCUUGAAUUAUUCCCUUUGGCUGAGUUGAAAGAAGGAGCAUGAGAGAGCAGGUCCUUGAUUUUUCUGAGG